UACGAAGGGUGCAAGCGUUACUCGGAAUUACUGGGCGUAAAGCGUGCGUAGGUGGUUUCUUAAGUCUGCUGUGAAAGCCCCGGGCUCAACCUGGGAAUUGCAGUGGAUACUGGGAAGCUAGAGUGCGGUAGAGGGUAGUGGAAUUCCCGGUGUAGCGGUGAAAUGCGUAGAGAUCGGGAGGAACACCAGUGGCGAAGGCGGCUACCUGGGCCUGCACUGACGCUCAUGCACGAAAGCGUGGGGAGCAAACAGG
rnacentral:rRNA from 1 species